rnacentral:rRNA from 1 species
AACGUAGGAGACAAACGUUAUCCGGAGUUACUGGGCGUAAAGGGCGUGUAGGUGGUUUCGUAAGUCUGGCGUGAAAUUUUUCGGCUUAACCGGGAAAGGUCGUCGGAUACUGCGGAACUAGAGGACGGUAGAGGAGAGUGGAAUUCCUGGUGUAGCGGUGAAAUGCGCAGAUAUCAGGAGGAACACCAGUGGCGAAGGCGACUUCCUGGCCUGUUCUUGACGCUGAGGCGCGAAAGCUAGGGGAGCAAACGGG